GAUGAACGCUGGCGGCGUGCCUAACACAUGCAAGUCGAACGAACGGACGAGAAGCUUGCUUCCCUCAUGUUAGCGGCGGACGGGUGAGGAACACGUGGAUAACCUACCUAUAAGACUGGGAUAACGUCGGGCGACCGGAGCUCAUACCGGACAAUAUUUUGAACCGCAUGGUUCAAAAGUGAUAGACGGUCUUGAGGGCACUUAUAGCUUGAUCCGCGCUGGUUUAGCUAGUUGGUAAGGUAACGGCUUACCAAGGCAACGAUGCAUAGCCGACCUGAGAGGGUGACCGGCCACACUGGAACUGAGACACGGUCCAGACUCCUACGGGAGGCAGCAGUAGGGAAUCUUGCGCAAUGGGGGAAAGCCUGACGGAGCAACGCCGCGUGAGUGAUGAAGGUCUUCGGGUCGUAAAACUCUUUUAUUGGGGAAGAACACCUGUGUGAUAAUCUGUGCACAUCUUGACGGUACCGAAUCAGAAAGCCACGGCUAACUACGUG
rnacentral:rRNA from 1 species